rnacentral:rRNA from 1 species
CCUACGGGUGGCAGCAGUGAGGAAUAUUGGUCAAUGGACGAGAGUCUGAACCAGCCAAGUAGCGUGAAGGAUGACUGCCCUAUGGGUUGUAAACUUCUUUUAUAUGGGAAUAAAACGUUCCACGUGUGGGAUUUUGUAUGUACCAUAUGAAUAAGGAUCGGCUAACUCCGUGCCAGCAGCCGCGGUAAUACGGAGGAUCCGAGCGUUAUCCGGAUUUAUUGGGUUUAAAGGGAGCGUAGGUGGAUUGUUAAGUCAGUUGUGAAAGUUUGCGGCUCAACCGUAAAAUUGCAGUUGAAACUGGCAGUCUUGAGCACAGUAGAGGUGGGCGGAAUUCGUGGUGUAGCGGUGAAAUGCUUAGAUAUCACGAAGAACUCCGAUUGCGAAGGCAGUUCACUGGACUGCAACUGACACUGAGGCUCGAAAGUGUGGGUAUCAAACAGGAUUAGAUACCCUUGUAGUC